rnacentral:rRNA from 1 species
GAACGCUAGCUACAGGCUUAACACAUGCAAGUCGAGGGGCAGCAUGGACAUAGCUUGCUAUGUUUGAUGGCGACCGGCGCACGGGUGCGUAACACGUAUCCAAUCUGCCCGUUACUCGGGGAUAGCCUUCUGAAAGGAAGAUUAAUACCCGAUGGCAUGUAUUUCCGGCAUCGGAGAUACAUUAAAGAUUUAUCGGUAACGGAUGAGGAUGCGUACGAUUAGCUUGUUGGCGGGGUAACGGCCCACCAAGGCGACGAUCGUUAGGGGUUCUGAGAGGAAGGUCCCCCACACUGGAACUGAGACACGGUCCAGACUCCUACGGGAGGCAGCAGUGAGGAAUAUUGGUCAAUGGUCGGAAGACUGAACCAGCCAAGUAGCGUGAAGGAUGACUGCCCUACGGGUUGUAAACUUCUUUUGUUUGGGAAUAAAAGACGCUACGUGUAGCGUUCUGCAUGUACCUUACGAAUAAGCAUCGGCUAAUUCCGUG